UUUGAAUCCUCCCUUCCUUAAUAUCACUUGUGUGUAGAAAGAAAAAACUAAUAAAAGCAUGAGAGUCCUUGAUCAUCUCACAGUAAUUGGACGAUGAAUUCUUAAUAAGAGUGACCCAUUUAUCUUUUCUUUGUUGAUUUCUCUCUUUUUCUAACAGCCAAACAUGUUUUCUUUAACCUAUAUCCCUUUAUGCAAAAAUCUAUUUACCCAGUUA
rnacentral:lncRNA from 1 species